rnacentral:rRNA from 1 species
GACGAACGCUGGCGGCGUGCCUAACACAUGCAAGUCGAGCGGGGUUGAAGCGAGGGGUAACUCAAGCUUCUACCUAGCGGCGGACGGGUGAGUAACGCGUGGGCAACCUACCCCAAAGUCCGGGAUAACAGUGGGAAACCGCUGCUAAUACCGGAUGGCUUUACCUGAGGGCAUCCUCGGGUAAAGAAAGGUUACGCUUUGGGAUGGGCCCGCGUCCCAUUAGCUAGUUGGUGAGGUAAAGGCUCACCAAGGCGACGAUGGGUAGCCGGCCUGAGAGGGUGGACGGCCACACUGGGAUUGAGAUACGGCCCAGACUCCUACGGGAGGCAGCAGUCGAGAAUAGUCUACAAUGGCCGGAAGGCUGAUAGUGCGACGCCGCGUGAACGAGGGAGCCCUUCGGGGUGUAAAGUUCUUUUCUAUACGAGCAGUGCUAUAUAUAUGGAUAGUAUAUAUAGAGGGAUAGUAGUAUAGGAAUAAGCAACGGCUAACUCCGUGCCAGCAGCCGCGGUAAUCAUA